ensembl:lncRNA LINC03004 long intergenic non-protein coding RNA 3004
AGUAUUUUCUGUAGAGAAGGCUGUUCAGAGAGAGAAAGUCAAAUGAAAGAAGAACAUCUUGAAUUUAUACAAUGACUGGGAGAAGGCUUAAUGUGUUCUUAGAAUUGUAACUCCUAUUUGGAGAGAUUGCAAAAAGGAGCACCAGGGACAGAACCCUUGGAAGGGCCACAGGGGAUGGCAAAUGGCUCUCUCAGUUAGCUGGCUGAGCAUGUGAGCAGUCCGUACGACCAAGAUCAUUGUUGUCUCCAGCAGUGGAGAGCACCAGAUCUGAAAUCCCCAGGGCAAUUUCUGUUCAUGGAUAAGCCGGAUAAGCCUGGACUUCCCAAGUGAUGUCACAGUGAGACUUGAGCUUCGAUAACCAAGAACUUCAAGACCAAACCAUCAUUUCAAGAGAUUAUCGAGAAAAUGAAUGUGAGAAGAGCUUGUUGCAGGAAUUUCAUCAGGGGCAUACAAGUCGUGGAUUUGACUGGGACAAUUUCUUGUACAUUUCCAUUGUUUUUAACAAGAGGAGGAAGCUGUGCUGUGAAGGAUCCUUUUUCAUCAUGAUUAUUGCAUCCACAGAAGCAGUGAUAAAUUCUAACAGAUAAUGCAACUCAGUCUACUUGGAUGUUCACACCUGAGACUGGAGAAGACCUGCUGCCUUCUGCAGAGCCAAACAUUCCUCACAUGCUCCUCCACAAUGCUAGUUAAUGCAGCAAGAAUAGUCUUAUAUAGACUAUAAACUCCUGGUACACUGUGUCUACAUUGCUCACUGCAGUAUCCCAACAUCUAAGACCAUGGUCUUAGAUGUCUGGUACAGGACUGGUGCUCAGUAUGCAUUGAAUGAAUAAAUGAAUGAAUAUAGCAAAGCA